UCGUGGAGUGAUCUGUCUACUUAAUUGUGUUAACGAACGAGACCUUAACCUGCUAAUUAGCGCAUGGAUCCGUAAAACGAUCUUUCACCCUUUGGGUGCUUGCUAUCCCAUAAUUCCUGAAUUAUGGGUGCUUCUUAGAGGGACAAUACGCGUUGAAAUUUUUUCAUACCAGCGUGGGGAAGUUUAAGGCAAUAACA
rnacentral:rRNA from 1 species